AUUUAAAAGUAGUUUUCUUUCUCUAUUUGUGCUCUGUUUUUUCUUUUGAGCAUGGCCAUGCCUCCUGUUUGUUCUGUUCAUCAUUUUUUUUUCGAGUUUUUUCUGCAUUGUUAUGUGAUCUUUUUUCUUUUAAAUUGUUUUGGGCGAGGAUAGAGAUUGUGUUUAUGAGGAACUGCAUAACUGGGAAUUCCAAGCGUUGAUGAGACUCCUGUUACAACAUUCAAAGCCCUGGUAGGAAAAUAUCUGUGGCUGAUGUAUCUGGAAGCAUAUGACUUAUCAAUUCAAAUUGGAUCAGCUAUAAGGAGUUGUGAUGUCAGUUCUGUGAGUAUUGUUUGAAGUAAUAAUUAAUUGUCUGUUUGUUGUCUUGAUUAAAAUUAUCUGAUUUAAGA